UACAGAGGGUGCGAGCGUUAAUCGGAAUUACUGGGCGUAAAGCGUGCGUAGACGGUUUCGUAAGUCGGGUGUGAAAUCCCCGGGCUCAACCUGGGAAUUGCAUUCGAAACUGCGAGGCUAGGGUACGGAAGAGGGAAGCGGAAUUUCUGGUGUAGCGGUGAAAUGCGUAGAUAUCAAGAGGAACACCGGUGGCGUAGGCGGCUUCCUGGAAGGUACCUGACUCUGAAACACGAAAGCUAGGGGAGCAAACGGG
rnacentral:rRNA from 1 species